AGAACUUAUGUUUCUUCUCUCUUGGUAAUAUCAACGGAGUUAAGGUGAUCGAGCUCUUCGACCAACAUUGAAUCUCAUGAACGACGUUAUCACCAGCACGACGAUUGCGCAGCAGCCUUCUCAAGUGUCUAAUAUCCUUUUAACGCUCAAACCAUGGGGGCACGCACUACGCGGAGUUCGGACAAUUUCGGACAAAAUCGAAUGAGAUCGUGAGUCAGUUCUUCCCACCAUUGCUCCGUCGCGUUCCGAAGCAUGCGCUGUAGUACGCGGCAACAGCGGCUGCAGUGGCGCUGUUACCAUGGUAACCAACGGCCAAGCGCAUGGCGGAUAUUUGCCGGGGAUCGGAGAAAAGAGAAAUCUAUUUAUCCAACAAAGCUACACAUUUUAUUUGAAAGAGUAUCAACUUACCAAAUUAUUAUCGACCUUCAAUCUGUCUGUUGAUAACAUCAAAUAGAAUCGUUAAGAAGUCUUGCCAAAUAUAAUGAAAAAAAUUAUUUUAACAAAGCAUGAACUAUAAUUUGAUUUGUUUAUUUUCCAACGACUAGUUCAUUCAUCGAACAUUUAAUAGUUUUUGUAAUACGUAUGCGUAUAAAUAAUUUAGAUUUCAUUCAAACGUCAGAUAAUCGAUCAGACAUCGAGAUAAUCGAGAAAAUCGUUUCGUACAAUUUGUAUGCCAACAAAGAUGUUCCCGGAAAUGAAAUAACACACGGGAGUGGUAUUUAAUGUUUAGCUUGAGGUAAAAUGUGAAUAAAUAUAUACUACGUGGGAGUGUCGAUAUUUCUCACGGUCUUUCGUUCCUUUCGAUAAAUCUCGUCAAUUGAUAUAGUACAAAGAUUCUUUAUAAUUGUAUACUUCAUGUUUACAAUGGAGUUUCAUAUUAUUAAACAUUAAUAUUUAUAUAAGAAAUCUUUCUAUUUAUCUAAUUGACUGAUUUAACGCGACAUUACAAAAGUUGCAUUAACAAUAAGAUCAAAGUCUCGAUUGAGUCUAUUGUUAGAAACAAAUGUGGCUGUUAUCCGUUCUUGUGAAAUUAUUAUAGCAUAUGAUGUAAUUAAUACUUCGCGAAUCGUCAUGAGUACCGAGAAUUUAAGAAUAGAACUUCUUCACUGACAAGAGGAUAGGAUCGGAUAACAAAAGAUAUGAGAGGCACGAUGAUGAUUAUGGUUGAAUAAC